rnacentral:RNase_P_RNA from 1 species
UCCCUGGGAAAUUCCAGGGGAAUUCCCUGGGAAAUUCCAGAGGAAUUCCCUGGGAAAUUCCAAAGAAAUUCCCUGGGAAAUUCCAGAGGAAUUCCCUAUUUACUGAAAAAUUCUAGGGGGAUUCCCUGGGAAACUCCAGGGGGAUUCCCUGCGAAACUCCAGGGGGAUUCCCUGGAAUUACACAGGGAAAUUUCUCCUGGAAAAUUCUUGAGUAAAUCUCUGAGAAAUUCAAUGAGAAUUCCCAGGGA